rnacentral:rRNA from 1 species
AGUGAACGCUGGCGGUAGGCCUAACACAUGCAAGUCGAACGGCAGCACAGUAAGAGCUUGCUCUUACGGGUGGCGGGUGGCGGACGGGUGAGGAAUACAUCGGAAUCUACUUUUUCGUGGGGGAUAACGUAGGGAAACUUACGCUAAUACCGCAUACGACCUACGGGUGAAAGCAGGGGAUCUUCGGACCUUGCGCGAUUGAAUGAGCCGAUGUCGGAUUAGCUAGUUGGCGGGGUAAAGGCCCACCAAGGCGACGAUCCGUAGCUGGUCUGAGAGGAUGAUCAGCCACACUGGAACUGAGACACGGUCCAGACUCCUACGGGAGGCAGCAGUGGGGAAUAUUGGACAAUGGGUGCAAGCCUGAUCCAGCCAUACCGCGUGGGUGAAGAAGGCCUUCGGGUUGUAAAGCCCUUUUGUUGGGAAAGAAAAGCAGCAGGUUAAUACCCCGCUGUUCUGACGGUACCCAAAGAAUAAGCACCGGCUAACUUCGUG